AUUGAACGCUGGCGGCAGGCUUAACACAUGCAAGUCGAGCGGUAACAUUUCUAGCUUGCUAGAAGAUGACGAGCGGCGGACGGGUGAGUAAUACUUAGGAAUCUACCUAGUAGUGGGGGAUAGCUCGGGGAAACUCGAAUUAAUACCGCAUACGACCUACGGGAGAAAGGGGGCAACUUGUUGCUCUCGCUAUUAGAUGAGCCUAAGUCGGAUUAGCUAGAUGGUGGGGUAAAGGCCUACCAUGGCGACGAUCUGUAGCUGGUCUGAGAGGAUGAUCAGCCACACCGGGACUGAGACACGGCCCGGACUCCUACGGGAGGCAGCAGUGGGGAAUAUUGGACAAUGGGGGAAACCCUGAUCCAGCCAUGCCGCGUGUGUGAAGAAGGCCUUUUGGUUGUAAAGCACUUUAAGCAGUGAAGAAGACUCUUCGGUUAAUACCCGGAGACGAUGACAUUAGCUGCAGAAUAAGCACCGGCUAACUCUGUGCCAGCAGCCGCGGUAAUACGUAGGGUGCGAGCGUUAAUCGGAAUUACUGGGCGUAAAGCGAGCGCAGACGGUUACUUAAGCAGGAUGUGAAAUCCCCGGGCUCAACCUGGGAACUGCGUUCUGAACUGGGUGACUAGAGUGUGUCAGAGGGAGGUAGAAUUCCACGUGUAGCAGUGAAAUGCGUAGAGAUGUGGAGGAAUACCGAUGGCGAAGGCAGCCUCCUGGGAUAACACUGACGUUCAUGCUCGAAAGCGUGGGGUAGCAAACAGG
rnacentral:rRNA from 1 species